rnacentral:rRNA from 1 species
AGAGCGAACGCUGGCGGCAGGCUUAACACAUGCAAGUCGAACGCGUGUAGCAAUACACGAGUGGCGCACGGGUGAGUAACGCGUGGGCAUCUGCCUCAUGGUUCGGAAUAACCCCGGGAAACUGGGGCUAAUACCGGAUGGUACCUUCGGGUUAAAGAUUUAUCGCCAUGAGAUGAGCCCGCGUCCGAUUAGCUAGUUGGUGAGGUAACGGCUCACCAAGGCGACGAUCGGUAGCUGGUCUGAGAGGACGAUCAGCCACACUGGGACUGAGACACGGCCCAGACUCCUACGGGAGGCAGCAGUGGGGAAUAUUGGACAAUGGGGGCAACCCUGAUCCAGCCAUGCCGCGUGAGUGAUGAAGGCCUUAGGGUUGUAAAGCUCUUUUACCAGGGAUGAUAAUGACAGUACCUGGAGAAUAAGCUCCGGCUAACUCCGUGCCAGCCAGCCGC